rnacentral:lncRNA from 1 species
UCUAAUAUGGCUAAUUGAAGCCCAUCUGAACGUCAGUUUAUGCUCAAAUUUAACCAGCAAUCUCAAUUAAAGGUAAUCAGUAGUAAUUUAUCUUAACUUUUCAGUUUUGAACUAUUUUUUGUCACUGAAAGUUCUACCUACUAGAAUCUUUAGCAGAUAGCAGUUAUGUUCUGUUUUCACUCUCCGGAUGUCGGAAUGAUAUGAAACUUUUAAUUUAACAUUAUAAAAAUAAUUCUAACAUAUUCUUAAAUUUUCAUAAUUUUCUGACAUUGUGAACUUUUUGCUUAAAAAUAAAGCUCCGUUCCUUACGGAAAAUUCUAAAUCUUAUAUUUUCAUUUCAAGUUCACCAUAAAUUAUUUCAAAAUUAUCUUUUUUUUCUCUACGUCCAAUAAAAAUAGUAUUUCAUACUAUUUUUAUUUACACUUACUUCUAUAUUAAAAAAAAUUCGGUAUACUACAUUCCACCCCCUUUAAAAAAAAGUUUUACUCAUAUUCAAUCCUCAGCUC